rnacentral:rRNA from 1 species
CACGUAGGGGCGAAGCGUUGUCCGGAAUUACUGGGCGUAAAGCGCGCGCAGGCUGUUUGGUCAGCAGCGGGUGAAAUCACAGGGCUCAACUCUGUGGCUGCUCGCUGAACUGCCAGACUAGGGUUCGGGAGAGGGCAGUGGAAUUCCUGGUGUAGCGGUGGAAUGCGUAAAUAUCAGGAGGAACACCCGUGGCGAAAGCUGCUGCCUGGAACGAUACCGACGCUGAGGCGCGAAAGCUAGGGGAGCGAACGGGGAUUAGA